UAUUUAGACAGGACAACGUUGACCUGUUUCUUUGCAGAACUCCUUAAAACGAGAUAUAAAACCAUAUUGAGAUUCUUUUUGUCUAAUUCCAGCUCACGUCAGCAUGUUUGUCCUGUCGUCAGACCGCGGUCAGCCGUCUUCUCUGGGUCCCAUUCCUCAGUUUGUUCACUGGAGGUCAGUUAAAAGCUUCAGCAGGAGCCGCGGGACAGGAAGAGGAAGUGGCUCCCUGCCUCUGAGGAGACGCUCUGGAGGAAAAGACGACAUCCUGAACAGAGGAGACGCACAACAACCACACAGCUACACAACCCGAGGUGACGUCCUCGUCCAGGAGCUGCACUUCUGGUUCUACAUGUGAAUGUUUGGUCGGUUUUCUGUCUCCUACAAUUCUGAAGUGUAAAUCUGCGACUGGCGUCCCAGAAAACAAACCAAGGCCUUGGAGUUAAAGUAGCUCAUCCGUCUCGUCCAUGACGGCGUCACAGUGUCAGCGAGCGUUCACAACUUCCUGCUGUUCACACAACAAAUCAUUCAGCCGGACGGUAUGUAGGACAAAGACCAGGUCUGCUUUUAAUCUUUAAUCUGAUUUUCACUAGUGAAGAUGAACAAAAAAACCCGCCACCCCCCCUCACGGGGUCUCUAUGAGUUUACGGCGUCCUGCAUGAGGUCGUGGUUAUUUCUUAAAUUCAUCUUGCCUGUUAUUCGAACCGGAGUCUAAAACUACUUUUUCUAAUUAAAACAUAAAACUCUUAGAAAACGUAGAAUAUUAAAAUUUUUUCCAAACAGUCUCU